rnacentral:rRNA from 1 species
GACGAACCGAGCGAACGUUGUUCGGAAUCACUGGGCUUAAAGGGCGCGUAGGCGGGUGCUCAAGUCCGUGGUGAAAUCCUCCGGCUCAACCGGAGAACUGCCUCGGAUACUGGGCGUCUCGAGUGUGGUAGGGGUAUGCGGAACUAUCGGUGGAGCGGUGAAAUGCGUUGAUAUCGAUAGGAACUCCGGAGGCGAAGGCGGCUUGCUGGGCUCGGUCUGACGCUGAGGCGCGAAAGCGUGGGGAGCAAACAGG